rnacentral:rRNA from 1 species
GCUAUACAUGCAGUCGAGCGGACUUGAGAGAAGCUUGCUUCUCUGGAUGGUUAGCGGCGGACGGGUGAGUAACACGUAGGCAACCUGCCCUCAAGUUUGGGACAACUACCGGAAACGGUAGCUAAUACCGAAUAGUUGUUUUCUUCUCCUGAAGAGAACUGGAAAGACGGAGCAAUCUGUCACUUGGGGAUGGGCCUGCGGCGCAUUAGCUAGUUGGUGGGGUAACGGCUCACCAAGGCGACGAUGCGUAGCCGACCUGAGAGGGUGAUCGGCCACACUGGGACUGAGACACGGCCCAGACUCCUACGGGAGGCAGCAGUAGGGAAUCUUCCGCAAUGGGCGAAAGCCUGACGGAGCAAUGCCGCGUGAGUGAUGAAGGUUUUCGGAUCGUAAAGCUCUGUUGCCAGGGAAGAACGCUUGGGAGAGUAACUGCUCUCAAGGUGACGGUACCUGAGAAGAAAGCCCCGGCUAACUACGUGCCAGCAGCCGCGGUAAUACGUAGGGCAAGCGUUGUCCGGAAUUAUUGGCGUAAAGCGCGCGCAGGCGGUCAUUAAGUCUGUGUUAAUCCGGGGCUCACCCGGAUCG